CUUUCUUUUGUUGACAUAAUUUACAUCUAAUCUGGAGAUGUAAUGUGUUGAUCGACAUUUCAAUUGGUUCCUCUUUUACGUAUAAUUGGGAUUUUUUAUUUAUUAUUAUUAUUUUUAAUAUUGAUUUCUGAAUCUGAUCAUGAUAUCCAGUUUCUGUAUAUGGAGAUGUGAGGAUGUUUGUCCACCUAUUCUGCAAUUGAAUGAUGAUUAUAAAACAUGCACUACCAUCUGAUCUCUAUUGCUUCUAUCAAGAUUCUUGCUUCUUCUUCUUCUUUUAUUUAUUUAUUUAUUUUAUUUUAAAAUUACAUAUUUUUAUUUUCUCAAAUCUGAUUUUCUUGUACACUAAUUAUAAUAAUUAAGUUAUGCAAUCACUGAUGAAGUUACCUUUUGUUACUGAUUUAUGCGUGAUUAUUACAGAACUUAUCACCAUCUUUCGGCUGAGAUUGCAAUAUAUCAUCUUUCUUUUCCACGUCCAUUUCACAACUUUUUUCUUACUAUUUUUUGUAAUUUACUCUUGUGUGGCUCUAUAUUUUAAAAUCUAGUUUCAACCACAUAUUCUUUGAAUAGAAUAAAUUUGUUGAUGCAUCCAUAACUUUUUCUCUACUUUUUAAUUGUGCAUUAUUCAAAAAAAUUACUUUUCUCAAAAUCAUUUUUCAAAAAAAUCUUAACCCAAUAGGGAACAAAAGAAGUGCAUAAAAUGAUGUUGCCCGUGGUAUCUAAUGUCCUGAAUCAUAUUCUGUUGUUGGAUGUUUCAUUUUGAGGGCAGAAAUAAAGUAAAGAACAGGUCUUGCGACACGGAUUGUUUUAAUUUUAAAAGCUUUCUGUUACUUUAACCCUG
rnacentral:lncRNA from 1 species